GUGCUUUCCACAAGACUUAUCAUGGAGCUAUCAUGCGCUCACCAACAAGCUUAGACCUUCCCUAUACUUGGUCUCAAGCCUGAAGAGGAGUGUGGAUGAGCUUGCAUGAUAAGAGAAGGAGCUGUCAAGCUCACCAUUUAUACAAGGGAGUAAACCUGAUCUUUAUCUCUUUCUAUACAAGCAUGAUAGGUUUAUCUCUUGAAAGUGUCUUGCAUCAAUUAGGUGCUGUCUAAGUUAUUGCAUUCAUGCAUUGAACUGUCGGAUUGAUCAUGCAUUGUUACCCUUGUCUAGAUUGUGCUUGUCCUUGAUCUUUUUGUUUGCCUAUUUCAGAAUUAAUAUUUUGUUGAGGCAUUGGUGAUAAAACAAGAUGUGUGAUCUUGCUUUGGUCCCAAUAGGAUGAUUUAAUUUUGCAUUGUGUUGUGGUGGUUUUAGGUACACAAGCAGUGAUACAAGUAACUCACCAACAACCAAGAAUGUAAAGACAAAGGUCUUUUGCCAUUGCAUAUCAUCACUAGGACAUGUCAGUCCUCACUCUACAGGAAGUGUAGUGUGAUUGAUUAUGCAAUGAGAAAUGGCUAUUGCAUAAUACCAUUAGGACAUGUCUAGUCCUUAGUCUACAGGAAGUGU
rnacentral:lncRNA from 1 species